GAAUUUCUCUACAGGAAAAAUUAGAUGAUCUUGAAAAUCUGAGUAGGAGAAAAUCUCAGAUUUGUGGGCUUCCCCUAAUUAAGGCGACAUUUGCUCCACUCUUUAACGCUGGCUACAGGACACUCUGCAGCUUGGUGCCUUAGCUUCCGCUCCCAUCAUUAUCGAAGAAGCACAUAGAAUAGGCCCAGACAGACCCAGUGACACCACUAGAU